AUGGCCGUGGCCAGUACCAAGAGUCGGUGGGAGACGGGUGAGGUACAGGCUCAGUCUGCAGCCAAGACUCUGUCCUGCAAGGAUAUUGUGGCUGGAGACAUGAGCAACAAAAGCUUCUGGGAGCAGAAGGGAGGCUCCAAGACCUCAUCAACAAUUACGGCCCAGAUUGCCUUCCUACAGGGAGAAAGGAAGGGCCAAGAAAAUUUGAAGAAGGAUCUCGUGAGGAUGAUCAGAAUGUUGGAGUAUGCUCUUAAACAGAAAAGAGCCAAAUACCACAAGUUGAAAUAUGGGACAGAAUUGAAUCAGGGAGCUAUGAAGCCUCCAAGCUAUGAUUCUGAUGAAGGUAAUGAAACAGAAGUGCAGCCACAACAAAACAGCCAGUUAAUGUGAAAACAAGGUCGACAACUACUCAGGCAGCGUCAUGAUAACGUGAACAGAAGGUAG